UUUGACCUCGGAUCAGGUAGGAAUACCCGCUGAACUUAAGCAUAUCAAUAAG
rnacentral:rRNA from 8 species